rnacentral:misc_RNA from 1 species
CCUAAGAGAUACGUGUUAUGUGAAGUGCUCACACAGAUUGUCUGAUGAAGAACGAGCAAAAGCGCGUCUGCGAAGCUGACAAAAGUCCCCUUCGUCUAGAGGCCUAGAACACCGCCCUUUCACGGCGGUAACAGGGGUUCGAAUCCCCUAGGGGACGCCAAUGCGCGGUAUGAGUGAAAGGCGUACCACUUAUCUGACGAGAGUCAGAGAAUAACUAAGCUAAUUCAAAUGAGUUAUCUUACUUAUUAUGCUCUUUAACAAUCUGGAACAAGCUGAAAAAUUGAAAACAAAUCAAUAUAUCACCGAGGUAUAUUGAUGAGUCUCUCAAAAUCUCAAACCUUAAAGUUUGUCACGCAAAGUUUAUCUUUGAAAGAGACACUUUCGGGUUGUGA